rnacentral:rRNA from 1 species
AUGUGGGUAUCUGCCUUUUGGUUUGGAAUAACACGGGGAAACCUGUGCUAAUACCGGAUAAGCCUUUACAGGGAAAGUUUUAACGCCAAAAGAUGAGCCCGCACUUGAUUAGCUAGUUGGUAAGGUAAUGGCUUACCAAGGCUACGAUCAAUAGCUGAUCUGAGAGGAUGAUCAGCCACAUUGGGACUGAGACACGGCCCAAACUCCUACGGGAGGCAGCAGUGGGGAAUCUUGCACAAUGGGGGAAACCCUGAUGCAGCGAUGCCGCGUGAGUGAAGAAGGCCUUUGGGUUGUAAAGCUCUUUCGUCGGGGAAGAAAAUGACUGUACCCGAAUAAGAAGGUCCGGCUAACUUCGUGCCAGCAGCCGCGGUAAUACGAAGGGACCUAGCGUAGUUCGGAAUUACUGGGCUUAAAGAGCUCGUAGGUGGUUAGAAAAGUUGGUGGUGAAAUCCCAAGGCUUAACCUUGGAACUGCCACCAAAACUUUUUAACUAGAGUGUGAUAGAGGAAAGUGGAAUUUCUAGUGUAGAGGUGAUAUUCGUAGAUAUUAGAAAGAACACCAAUUGCGAAGGCAACUUUCUGGAUCAUUACUGACACUGAGGAGCGAAAGCAUGGGGUA